UACGGGGGGGGCAAGCGUUGUUCGGAAUUACUGGGCGUAAAGGGCGCGUAGGUGGCCUGCUAAGUCGGACGUGAAAUCCCUCGGCUCAACCGAGGAACUGCGUCCGAUACUGGUGGGCUUGAAUCCGGGAGAGGGAUGUGGAAUUCCAGGUGUAGCGGUGAAAUGCGUAGAUAUCUGGAGGAACACCGGUGGCGAAGGCGGCAUCCUGGACCGGUAUUGACGCUGAGGCGCGAAAGCUAGGGGAGCAAACGGG
rnacentral:rRNA from 1 species